rnacentral:pre_miRNA from 1 species
UUGGUUUAAAUCAUUGUGGGUUUACACUUUAAAAAUUGAACAAACACAAAGUGGUGGAACAUACAUUAAUAUCGUCCAA